rnacentral:rRNA from 1 species
UACGAAGGGGGCUAGCGUUGCUCGGAAUUACUGGGCGUAAAGGGCGCGUAGGCGGACAGUUUAGUCAGAGGUGAAAGCCCAGGGCUCAACCUUGGAAUUGCCUUUGAUACUGGCUGUCUUGAGUUCGGGAGAGGUGAGUGGAAUGCCGAGUGUAGAGGUGAAAUUCGUAGAUAUUCGCAAGAACACCAGUGGCGAAGGCGGCUCACUGGCCCGGAACUGACGCUGAGACGCGAAAGCGUGGGGAGCAAACAGG